UUAGCAACCAUUUCUAGCUGUUGUUCCCUCCAAGAGCAGAUUCUUAUGCAUUAUUCACCCGUCCGCCAUUUGAUUAAGUUAAAUCCGUAUUUUUUAAUAAUAUGAACUCUUAUUUCCUUUUUCGAAAUCAUUAUUACUAUAAUAGAAUAUAUCCGGCCGAAUACAUAAUUAAAUUGGUUUGCGAGAUCCUCCCAAAUAAUCAUUCGGAAUGUUGAACCAUGGUCAAAUUUCCAACUCAACUUGAGGCAGUUAUAUCUUGAAUAAUGGGUGUCGAGUCUUUGCUAUCUUUUUUGUGUUAUAUUAUCAUAAAAUGUCAAGUAUGUGGAAACCGAUUAUAGGAGAUUCACUUUGCAAUGAAAGUCAAGUUUCUUUGCUUGAGUAUCAAUUUGUUGGUACAUGAAUAUGUAUAUUGAAAUGUUCCAAGUUCUAACCAGUCAUCUUCAUGCAGCUGCUGAUAAGACUUAAGACAGGAGUGGAAAUGAAGGUCUUGACACCCUUGAAACCAUUCCCAAUGCAGUUCCUGACGUUCUUAUUGAACCUCCCAUUGAACAUCAACUGGCAUGGCAUACACUUUGGCCAGAGUCGCACAAACUUUAUGAUGAUCAUGGGAAUGAGCUAUUUUCUCUUUGUUGUGACCCCAUGAGGAAGCUUGUUACUUCAUCCUGUAAGUUUUAUAGAUCAAGGGAGGGGCACAGAAGAAUCACUUGAUCAUGUUCUUGGAACCCAUAUGGUCAUGAGUUUGCAACAGGCUCUAGGGAUAAGACUGCGAAGAUAUGGGCUUUGACAGUCUAAUCUUCAGUUAAACAAGCAGCUAACAACUCUGCCACAGUUCAAAUCUAGUUUCACUGCUUUAUAAACGGGUGGCUCUUGAUCCCGAGAGCAAUGGGCUCCCUUGAGUUUUGGAGUUUGUCUAUCAAAAGAACAGAGGAUGUUUGCUCAUAUGCAGUGUCUUAAUCAAUUUGUGUGCCAUGUUUCCUCAGUCAAGUGUUUGGCAUGAAAGCAAACGGAGAAGAGUGAAUAGUGCAGGAAGCUGCAACUUGUAUCCUGUGGCACGAACCACUGUGUGAAGAGUGUUUGAGGUAAAUGUUCCUGUUAUGAAAAGGUAUGUAUCUUUGUAUUGCUUGUUUUUGUGGAUUAUGAUCACUUUCAAUUUUGCCCCCACAGAAAGUGGCACUCAACUGAAAUUGUUUCCUCUUGUAUUUGGGCUGCUGAUCUGUAUAUUCAUUUCCAUUUCCAUUUCCAUUUCUGAAAAACUUUGGAGUAAAUAACGAAUCAUACCUUCC